rnacentral:lncRNA from 1 species
GUGUGCUUUAUUUGCAAGAUUUAUAUGACUUAAACAAGAACUUGUUAAAUAAUAUGAGUGCAUAUAAGUAGAUUGAUCUUGCCUCUUAUGUAGUCUGGUAGAUUUGGAAAGAAAGGAAUUGCAGAUUUUGUCUGGACAAAGAGAUGAAGCCAGAAAGGUAAAUGUCUCAAGUUCUACAGAAUGUUCGCCUCAUAUUGGAGGCAUUUGAAACAAGCCUUUGCUACUGUACAUCCAAGCUGGGUUCUUGAUGUUAAUUUCAUUUAUACGCAUAGUAAUAAAUUUUGCCCCUGGCUUCCUAAGCAUAUACUUUGUUCCUGGCUAGGAAUAAUUUCCAAACAGUUUUACAAAUGGUGAAAAAGAAAGGGUUUUGUUUACUAUUUUUUAUGACCGUGGACUCAUGAGUUCAUAACAUAUAAUGUAUUAUUUGUGUUCAUUCCUUUAAUGUGGAUUAUAACAUGAUCUACCUUUGCAUAAACAUCAAGGACUACUUUUGGUUCAUAUUCAUGCAUCCACUUCUCGAUAUUGAGAUUUUUCACAUAUACUGAACUUGUCUUAGUCAGCCCAACUCAGCUGUAUGUGUGACAUUUAUAAGAUGACUCCGUAAAAUUCAUAGAAGACACUAUUCUUUUAUUCUGUUCUUUUGUUUCUUCCAGAUUUUGCUCUCCUUGCUUAUAUUUCGAUAUUGUUAAUUUGAUUAGAUGACUCGGUCGAUGAUGUUGGGCAUGUCCAUGGUAUCCAUUAAAAAACUUAAAAAAAGUCUUGCACCGGAAUAAAAUUAGAUAGCACACCACUUAUGAGUCGAAACAUAUGCAAGCCAAGCCGGUACCAUAAAAUUAGUAGAUUAGGUCCAUUCCAGCCGCUAAUUCUUUGUGCCAAUGCUAAGUAUGUGAUGAUCUUUCCACAAAAAAUCAAGUUUGUAUAGAGUGACCAAUGCUAAGUAUGUGAUAAGCUUGCACUGACUUUUAGUUACAUCUGAUGAUCUUUCCACAAAAAAUGUAUUAUAGAGUGUAAUAUUUACAGUGUGGGGAUGUUGGUGGCCAAGAAAGUUUAUGCCCUUGUGAAGACAUUACUAUGAAAUCCUAAGUUAUCCUGUAAAAAGGAUUCUUAUGAUACGCAUGUAAAGCAACUUCUGAACUUUUAUGUAGAUAUUUAAGUGCCAAUACCAUCUUUUGGUAUAACACAAAAAAAUCAAGUUUUGAGGCCAGAGAUUUACCUUGCUUUUGCAUGUGCAUUACUUUAGCUAUUCAACCUGCCGUCGAGCUUUUAGUUGAAGUUCACUAAAUUUCUUAUAUCGGCAUUUCAGGGAUAAUACGAUUGACCCAACUGUUACCGGUGCAAUGCUUUUGGGGUCGACCAAAACAUUUAAAAAUGUUAAAUGUGGUUAUGUGAUAAAAUCAAGUAUGAAGGAGGAAGAGAUCAACACCAGCCGCGGCAACAAAGAUGACAGUGUGUCUCACUGAGCAUGAGCAAUGGCACACUCUUGUCGAGUACCUACCAAGAUGCUUCCCUGGUCAGACUUCGAGCACUUCCUCCUUGCCGCCGCCGCCUUGGCUAAUGUUGUUGUUUCCUUGGAUAAGCCGUAUCAGGUUGGUUCCAUUGCACUGCAAAUACUACCACUUCUAUUGGGCAACUAAAUACAACUUGCAAGCACGGGAAAACAUGUACACCAAUGUUGUCGGGCGCGCGGAAGCCAAUUCCUUGGGUCACCCAUUGUACAUCUGCUGCUCUAACAGUAACCAUGCCUUGCUCCCAGUAAAUUUGAGCUCGCAGCCAUUUAGGUAGAUUCUUGUCAUGCUCACAUCUAGCAGCAAGAAAAAAGAGAAGCAGAUGACCAGAGUGUAAUGUCUUAGUGGUAGUGUAGACCACCAAGAUAUGAUGCUCUAAUCCAAAAUAUUAUAGGAAUAUCUACUUACUUUAACCACUUUUCGUAAUUGGUAUUUAAUCCAUCUACAUGUAGAAACACGAAAUGCAGAUAUUGUUUUGUUGAGAAAUUUUAUGAUUUGCCCAAAUGAUUAUGGACCGUACAUUGAUAAUGAUCUAAUGGUUAGGAUGAUGCAUCAUUUGAUAAUUCAAGAAAAUGUCGUGUCUUUACAGAAAUGUUCAAUUCCCCCUCAGUUUGAACUUGUAAGGUAUUAAUUUUUUAAAAAUUCAAACUUACCUAAUUUUCACCAAUUUUAUAGAAUAAAACAUAAAUAUCUACUAUAGAAAAUCAUUAUCAUUAGAUUCAUGAUGAAGUAUAUUUCCAUAUUUGAUUUAUUUAGUAUUGUAGGUGUUAGAUGUAUUUUGCUACAGAUUUGAUCAAACAUAGGAAACUUUGACUUUUGAAAAUUUAAUUCAUCUUAUAUUUUGACACACAUGGAGUAGUAAUCGCUGGGACCAGAUCCAUGCACCAUCAUCUGAAACCCAUGUAUUCAUGAGGUGUGAUGUUAAUUUUAACAAAUCUGCCCAUGGACAGAACCUCGAUACCAUGAUUCACAGACCAGCCCACAUAGAAUUUCUGUAGACUGACAUAUGCGCCGAGCUCAUCUUGUGGUAUGUCCCUGAACUUUUCUGAUGACAAUGCUCUUAGUUGGGAUGCCAUCAGGCUCCAAACCAAACCAAAGCAAACCUGGGAGCACUUUACUUAACAAUAAAUUAAGAUAACUUUUGCAUAAGGUUUUGUUGUAAUUCGUUACCAAGAUGGGUAGCACUGUAUAGUUUCCUAGCAGCAACAUUUGGCCAGCUUCUUAGAUUUUAUCUGCAUGAAUAGUAGAUUUUCUCAUUUUGAUUUAGAACAUUGUAAAUGUUCACGUCAGCUGCCAGAUUAACAUAAUGGAACGUCUCAGGUGUAUUUGAAGGUUGCCAGUUUAGGUGGGCCAAACAACCAGUGCGCUGAGGUCAAAAUAAGCAUGACACCAGCUUUAUUCUUUUAGGGGUCGCCUACAUGAUGAAGGAUGCUCAGGCACACAUCAUUGUUGGGUUUUCGCAUGUCAUGUCAUACUUGGUCUGUAACUGAAUCUUGAGAAUUCAUUUGUAUGACUUGAUGUACAGACGUGUUAUUCAUAAUGAAAAUAAUAUCAUUGUAUGUGCUUAAAAUAUUAUGUCAUAACUCUGUAAAAAAUGGCAUCUUCUACUAGAUAAAGAAGUGAUAAUGGUAAAAAAAAUCUUUGGGCAGUCUCCAUGUGUAGAAGGUUGGAACGUUAGAUAUUAGGAAGUGUGCAUUAAUUCUCCCGAUGGAAAAUCGCCCAGCUAGGGAAUGAGAAUAGCGACACGAAAUCCAG